AGCGCGUGAGUCAAUGACUAUUCAAGCCAUUGACUCACUGAUGAAUGAAGAUGAUGAGCGAUCGUCAAAGGCAAUCUGUAAUCUGCGGGCAUCACGGCUCGUUUCAACCCAAUGAUUCGUCUGACUCGUCUGUGUCACGUUCUGACCUUUAUUUCCUUUGUUUUGUAUUUAGUUAGUAUGGUCAGGGCGUGAGUUGGGGUGGGCAGUCUAUGUUUGAUUUUCUAUGAUUUGGGGAUUUCUAUGUUUCGGCCUAGUAUGGUUCUCAAUCAGAGGCAGGUGUCAUUAGUUGUCUCUGAUUGAGAAUCAUACUUAGGUAGCCUGGGUUGCACUGUUUGUUUGUGGGUGAUUGUCUAUGUUGAUGGCUUGUUUCAGCUCAGCUCACAUUAGCUUCACGGUUGUUAUUUUGUUUACUGUUUUUGUAUAGUGUUUCAGUGUUCAGUGUUUUCUUUAUUCAAAUUCAUGAUGAGCACAUAUCACGCCGCAUUUUGGUCCUCCGAUCCUUCUCGCCUCUCCUCUUCAGAUGAAGAGGAGGACGACCGUGACAGUCUGACAAACAAAGAACUUUGCGUCCAAGCCCAGGUGCAUGGCAACAGCCGGAUAAGAUGAGGAAAAAGAAGGAACACGCACACGGCUCUUGAUCAUAUCACUGAUCUUUAAUAAGCCUUAUGUAUCGGCCUCACGGCCAUCGUCAGAGCUUUUGUGGGUUUUUUAAAUUGGCACCCUUAUGUAGACCAAGUCACAGCCACAUCCAUUCCACACAUCGAAAGGGGUUGGAGGUGAAGGAAAAACAAAUAAGUGCUACCAAAUAUAACAAUAUGCAUUUCAUAAAUAUUAGAAUAAUGUGUGUACAUAAAACAUAUCAAACAUGUCUGCAAAACCACAAUGAGGACAUGACCUACCAAACAAGUUUUCAUGAAUUGGGUACAGUGUAAAAAAACAUCAUAGUAAUCUGAAAUAGGGGCAUAAUUCAUGUUCAAAUUUACAACAUAACAUACAUAGGCAUUUCAUAAUUAAGACCUUUAGGAAAUAAUGUCUGGAGGGUGAAAAUCCGAACCCUGCUUGCUACAAUGAAUGCGUUUGAUUCACCUGGUAUUGGAUACGGCUGAUUAAUGACCUUGCUAAAUAUGUCCAUGGAAGAAUGUUUAUAGAGCUGUUGUCUUCCGAAUAAACUCUUUAAGACCUGGUAAUCUUUUAUAUCAAUAGCAGUCAAUUAUUAAUCGUCACCUUAUUCAGUCUCAUCUGAACGUCGUAAAAUUCUUGGUUGUCUUCACAAACCCUGGCUAACAAGUUGAAUCAGCAUGACAAAAUGUGUUUUAUUUAUUUACUAAAUACCUAAAUAAUCACAAAGAAUUACAUAUACACAGGAUGGAUCAUACAUUGAUGACUAAUUAUGUCAUACAAGAAAGCGUCCCGAAUGGACAGAACCGAUAUGAUGGCUGGUUACACAAAGAAAGGGGGUUGGGUUUGAAUGAAAGCGGAAAAAAAGAAUUUGGUCUCUAUUGGACCUUAUGAAGCUAUGCUAUCGUAAAUACAGAAUCGUAUGCAAUCUAAAUAACUGCCCAUUUGGAAAAGGAAAAUGCAAGAAAUAUUUACUCUGAGCUGCGCUUCGAUAGAUUGGUUGUAGAUGGAAGGCAGGGUUGCCCAACAGAGAUCUCUCUUGUCCUUUGAAGAAUAUGUCUUGUGGUAAAAUGGAUACAUUGUAGUAACCUAUCUUUCUGAUGAUUGUCAGGUCUUUUCCGAGCCCACGUUUACAGCUGCUGCUGCUAACUCGGCGUCUAGGAUGUAUCACUUCUUUAAUGAAUAAGAGUUCAAAGUUCAUACCAAGUUCCCAUACUAUAAGCUCAUGCUAUAUUCUGGCUGGUAUAGUCGAAAUUCAUCCUUCCAGCGUGUCGAUCAUCACCUCCAUGUUGAAAUUCGCCCUUUUAAAUGUAUGGACAUCAGUCCUCACAUCACCGGGAACGCAAUGUUAAUUUUGUUAGGUUGUAGUCUGUCGUAGCUGAAUCAGAAUGAGUUAGUUAACAUUGAUAAAUAAGAUGUUUUAUUUACUUUCAUAAUAUGCUUAUGUGAGAUAGUCACUUGGGGCCCAGAGAGGGGAGAGGUCAGAAUUGUCUUCAUAUGUAAAUGUAUCUGUUAAACUAUGUGAAGGGCUCCACAAUGUCUGUACUCCAGUCACUCCCUCCUUUUCCCAUUGGGGGGGAGGAGUAUGGCAGUGUCUGGAACCAUUGUAUGUCCCCUCUGAUGUUGAAACUUAUCUUGACCUAGUAUAUGACCUAGAGGCUCACUCCCCUCUGUGAGCUUGUCCAGAAGGGGGUGUAUUUGAGAUGGAAGUAUCUAGAAUUGAUAUAUGCCAUUGGAUGAGGUAAUGUUUUGGUACUAUGAAGUACCAAGAACGAGAAGUAGAACCUCGUCUAAGAGACCAAACUGAACGAUAAUUUAUAGCUAAUGCUAUCUGGCUAUGGGAUACUCCUCUCUCAAGUAAAAGGCCCUUUGUGAAGUUCCUAAGAUCUGUGGUUCGUCAUGUGAGUUCAGAGGGGUGGAUCUUAGCUAUAAAAGAUACUAAGUAUUCUUUUGUAAGCACUCUCAGAAUUCAUUUAUAGACACUGAAUUGAUCUGAGAGUCAAAGGGCUAUGGUGAAGCUCAUAUAAUUAAAGAUGGACUUUAAAAUAUAACUCACUUGUGUGUGGUUUGUAAACUCUCCUCAUUUAGUAAUACAGGAAAUUACCACGACAAGUCGUUCAACUAUUCGCAACCAGAGCUCACGCUGAGGUUGGCUUAGUUCUGAAGUUGAUAUUAGCCAUUUAAAACGUAUGGACUGUAGUCCUCACGUCAUCGG
ensembl:lncRNA